rnacentral:rRNA from 1 species
AUCAACUUUCGAUGGUAGGAUAGAGGCCUACCAUGGUGGUAACGGGUAACGGGGUGUUAGGGCACGACACCGGAGAGGGAGCCUGAGAAACGGCUACCACAUCCAAGGAUGGCAGCAGGCGCGCAAAUUACCCAAUCCCGAAACGGGGAGGUAGUGACAAUAAAUAACAAUACGGGGUUCUUUCGGAUCUCGUAAUUGGAAUGAGUACAAUUUAAAUCUCUUAACGAGGAACAAUUGGAGGGCAAGUCUGGUGCCAGCAGCCGCGGUAAUUCCAGCUCCAAUAGCGUAUAUUAAAGUUGUUGCAGUUAAAAAGCUCGUAGUUGAAUUUCGGGAUCAAAUUGUCGGUCGUGCCUUGGUACGCACUGGCAUUAUUGGUCCCUACCUUCUGAAGAACCGCGAUGUCAUUAAUUUGGUGUCGUGGGGAAUCAGGACUGUUACUUUGAAAAAAUUAGAGUGUUUAAAGCAGGCGCACGCUUGAAUACAUUAGCAUGGAAUAAUGAAAUAGGACGUUUGAUUCUAUUUUGUUGGUUUCUAGGAUCGACGUAAUGAUUAAUAGGGAUAGUUGGGGGCAUUAGUAUUCAAUUGUCAGAGGUGAAAUUCUUGGAUUUAUUGAAGACUAACUACUGCGAAAGCAUUUGCCAAGGAUGUUUUCAUUAAUCAAGAACGAAAGUUAGGGGAUCGAAGACGAUCAGAUACCGUCGUAGUCUUAACCAUAAACUAUGCCGACUAGGGAUCGGAUGAUGUUGAUUUUAUAAUGACUCAUUCGGCGCCUUACGGGAAACCAAAGUGUUUGGGUUC